UACGUAGGGGGCGAGCGUUGUCCGGAGUUACUGGGUGUAAAGGGCAUGCAGGCGGUCGGACGCGUUUCGGGUGACAGCGGGUGGCUUAACUACCCGAGUGGUCGAAAGACGGUUUGACUUGAGGACGCGAGAGGGACACGGAAUUCCGGGUGGAGUGGUGAAAUGCGUAGAGAUCCGGAGGAACACCGAAGGCGAAGGCAGUGUCCUGGCGCGUAACUGACGCUGAGGUGCGAAAGCCAGGGGAGCGAACGGGG
rnacentral:rRNA from 1 species